AUGCUCGCUUCAGCAGCACAUAUACUAAAGCUGGAAUGAUGCAGAGAUUGGCAUGGCCCCCGAGCAAGAAUGAAAUGCAAAUUCAUGAAGCGUUCCAUAGUUAA